UACGUAGGGUGCAAGCGCUAUCCGGAAUUAUUGGGCGUAAAGAGCUCGUAGGCGGUUUGUCGCGUCUGCUGUGAAAACUGGAGGCUCAACCUCCAGCCUGCAGUGGGUACGGGCAGACUAGAGUGCGGUAGGGGAGAUUGGAAUUCCUGGUGUAGCGGUGGAAUGCGCAGAUAUCAGGAGGAACACCGAUGGCGAAGGCAGAUCUCUGGGCCGUAACUGACGCUGAGGAGCGAAAGCAUGGGGAGCGAACAGG
rnacentral:rRNA from 1 species